rnacentral:lncRNA from 1 species
UCUUUAGGAAUAUACCAAAAAUGUCACUGUACCUGCAUGAGCAGAGCUGGGGCCUGCAACAAAUUGUUUUCCGUAAAUGUGGAAAAUCAUCUUUAAGAUGAAGAAGGAAAACAUGAAGAAGGAAAAUUAUCAGAUGGAAGCAGUGUGAAGAGAAAGGACAAGUGUGAAAAGGAAGGAGAAGAAAAAAAGGUACCCCCCCUCCCUUCAAAUGAUGAACAACAAUUGCGGUGGCCAAGUAUUCAUAGCUCAUUCCUAAGGAUGCACUGCCACCUGCCAGCUUCCAGGCAAAAUGCAUCCCAAGAAAAGGUGGUCUUCAUUCCUAAUUGCACUAUUCUUUCACUACCAGAAUCACCUUGUGGUUUAUGGAUCCAUCUAAAACAAAUUCCAUCAAGGAUUUACGUACGCACUUAUACUUCUGCAUUUGCACGUUAUGCAGAGAAGGGGAAUACAUUGGCAAGCAAAUCGAUACAGCUGGUACAAAGAAUGGAGAAACUGGACAAAAAGAGGAGCUACUGAGGACAGAUGUUCAAGAAAAUGUAGACAAGCUUUGAAAUACUUGAACAGGAAGAUUUUCCCUGUCUCCAGUGCUCUGCAGAACUUCACAGCCAAUUUGAGAAGGCAGUCCUGGGUCAGCAGGGAAGGCUAAUGACUUCCAUAAGAAAAAAAAGGUAUGAUCUUCUGAUUUGGAUUACUGCUGCUAGAUUAUCUUGGCCAGUUUUUCUCCAAAGAAAGCAGCACAGGUAGGUGGGCCCAACUCUAUA